AGGGUUUGAUUCUGGCUCAGGACGAACGCUGGCGGCGUGCGUAACACAUGCAAGUCGAACGAGAGAGGGAGAGAAGCUUGCUUUUCUUACAAUCGAGUGGCAAACGGGUGAGUAACGCGUAAACAACCUGCCCCGCAGAUGGGGACAACAGCUGGAAACGGCUGCUAAUACCGAAUACGCUCCUCUUAGCGCAUGGUAAGAAGAAGAAAGGGUGGCCUCUGGAACAAGCUACCGCUGUGGGAGGGGUUUGCGUCUGAUUAGCUGGUUGGAGGGGUAACGGCCCACCAAGGCGACGAUCAGUAGCCGGUCUGAGAGGAUGAACGGCCACAUUGGAACUGAGACACGGUCCAG
rnacentral:rRNA from 1 species